GGCUUUAUAUUCAUGAAUGAUUUAUGUUUGCAAUACGUAAGGUGUAGUUAAUACUAAGGCUU
rnacentral:tRNA from 1 species